ACUGUCUUGCUCUGGUUACAUGCAUGAAUGAUGAGCAUAAGUUAUCCUUUCUCAAGAAGAUUUUCAGUCCUGAAGAGUUGAUACAGUUCAGAGUAAAGCUGCUAGAAGAAUCCCAGCUGCAGAAUGUGGAACGAGCCCUUGUUUUGGCCAACCCAGACUCCUCUUUUUGGCGGAAGGAGAAAGGGCUGCAGUACACGCAAGGAGAUGUUGUAUCUGGUGACCUCUCUGCAAAUGUAGUGGCUGUGUGUGGCAUUAUGCUGCCCAGAUUACAGCUUCUCUCUGAAGAGCAGG